rnacentral:rRNA from 1 species
UACGAAGGGGGCUAGCGUUGCUCGGAAUUACUGGGCGUAAAGGGCGCGUAGGCGGACAUUUUAAGUCAGGGGUGAAAUCCCGGGGCUCAACCCCGGAACUGCCUUUGAUACUGGGUGUCUUGAGUCCGGAAGAGGUGAGUGGAAUUGCGAGUGUAGAGGUGAAAUUCGUAGAUAUUCGCAGGAACACCAGUGGCGAAGGCGGCUCACUGGUCCGGUACUGACGCUGAGGUGCGAAAAGCGUGGGGAGCAAACAGG